CGCGCUCCUGAUGAGUCACGAGUUUAUACCUUGACCGGAAGGUGUGGGUAAUCUUUUGAAACUCUUUCGUGCUGGGGAUAGACCAUUGCAAUUAUUGUGCUUCAACGAGGAAUUCCCAGUAAGCGCGAGUCAUCAGCUCGUGUUGAUAACGUCCCUGCCCUUUGUAUACACCGCCCGUCGCUACUACCGAUUGAAUGGCUUUCGGAGGCUUUCGGAUUGAGUCUG
rnacentral:rRNA from 1 species